rnacentral:rRNA from 1 species
UUUUAUCGGAGAGUUUGAUCCUGGCUCAGGACGAACGCUGGCGGCGUGCCUAAUACAUGCAAGUCGAGCGGAUCGAUGGGAGCUUGCUCCCUGAGAUCAGCGGCGGACGGGUGAGUAACACGUGGGUAACCUGCCUGUAAGACUGGGAUAACUCCGGGAAACCGGGGCUAAUACCGGAU